rnacentral:rRNA from 1 species
GACGAACGCUGGCGGCGUGCUUAACACAUGCAAGUCGAACGGAAAGGCCCUGCUUUUGUGGGGUGCUCGAGUGGCGAACGGGUGAGUAACACGUGAGUAACCUGCCCUUGACUUUGGGAUAACUUCAGGAAACUGGGACUAAUACCGGAUAGGAGCUCCUGCUGCAUGGUGGGGGUUGGAAAGUUUCGGCGGUUGGGGAUGGACUCGCGGCUUAUCAGCUUGUUGGUGGGGUAGUGGCUUACCAAGGCUUUGACGGGUAGCCGGCCUGAGAGGGUGACCGACCACAUUGGGACUGAGAUACGGCCCAGACUCCUACGGGAGGCAGCAGUGGGGAAUAUUGCACAAUGGGCGGAAGCCUGAUGCAGCAACGCCGCGUGCGGGAUGACGGCCUUCGGGUUGUAAACCGCUUUCGCCUGUGACGAAGCGUGAGUGACGGUAAUGGGUAAAGAAGCACCGGCUAACUACGUG